rnacentral:rRNA from 1 species
ACAAUGAAGAGUUUGAUCCUGGCUCAGGAUGAACGCUAGCUACAGGCUUAACACAUGCAAGUCGAGGGGCAUCAGGAAGAAAGCUUGCUUUCUUUGCUGGCGACCGGCGCACGGGUGAGUAACACGUAUCCAACCUGCCCUUUACUCGGGGAUAGCCUUUCGAAAGAAAGAUUAAUACCCGAUGGCAUAAUGAUUCCGCAUGGUUUCAUUAUUAAAGGAUUCCGGUAAAGGAUGGGGAUGCGUUCCAUUAGGUUGUUGGUGGGGUAACGGCCCACCAAGCCUUCGAUGGAUAGGGGUUCUGAGAGGAAGGUCCCCCACAUUGGAACUGAGACACGGUCCAAACUCCUACGGGAGGCAGCAGUGAGGAAUAUUGGUCAAUGGGCGCUAGCCUGAACCAGCCAAGUAGCGUGAAGGAUGAAGGCUCUAUGGGUCGUAAACUUCUUUUAUAUAAGAAUAAAGUGCAGUAUGUAUACUGUUUUGUAUGUAUUAUAUGAAUAAGGAUCGGCUAACUCCGUGCCAGCAGCCGCGGUAAUACGGAGGAUCCGAGCGUUAUCCGGAUUUAUUGGGUUUAAAGGGAGCGUAGGUGGACUGGUAAGUCAGUUGUGAAAGUUUGCGGCUCAACCGUAAAAUUGCAGUUGAUACUGUCAGUCUUGAGUACAGUAGAGGUGGGCGGAAUUCGUGGUGUAGCGGUGAAAUGCUUAGAUAUCACGAAGAACUCCGAUUGCGAAGGCAGCUCACUGGACUGCAACUGACACUGAUGCUCGAAAGUGUGGGUAUCAAACAGGAUUAGAUACCCUGGUAGUCCACACAGUAAACGAUGAAUACUCGCUGUUUGCGAUAUACAGUAAGCGGCCAAGCGAAAGCAUUAAGUAUUCCACCUGGGGAGUACGCCGGCAACGGUGAAACUCAAAGGAAUUGACGGGGGCCCGCACAAGCGGAGGAACAUGUGGUUUAAUUCGAUGAUACGCGAGGAACCUUACCCGGGCUUAAAUUGCAGUGGAAUGAUGUGGAAACAUGUCAGUGAGCAAUCACCGCUGUGAAGGUGCUGCAUGGUUGUCGUCAGCUCGUGCCGUGAGGUGUCGGCUUAAGUGCCAUAACGAGCGCAACCCUUAUCUUUAGUUACUAACAGGUUAUGCUGAGGACCCUAGAGAGACUGCCGUCGUAAGAUGUGAGGAAGGUGGGGAUGACGUCAAAUCAGCACGGCCCUUACGUCCGGGGCUACACACGUGUUACAAUGGGGGGUACAGAAGGCAGCUAGCGGGUGACCGUAUGCUAAUCCCAAAAGCCUCUCUCAGUUCGGAUCGAAGUCUGCAACCCGACUUCGUGAAGCUGGAUUCGCUAGUAAUCGCGCAUCAGCCACGGCGCGGUGAAUACGUUCCCGGGCCUUGUACACACCGCCCGUCAAGCCAUGGGAGCCGGGGGUACCUGAAGUACGUAACCGCAAGGAUCGUCCUAGGGUAAAACUGGUGACUGGGGCUAAGUCGUAACAAGGUAGCCGUACCGGAAGGUGCGGCUGGAACACCUCCUUU